GUAAACGGCGGCCGUAACUAUAACGGUCCUAAGGUAGCGAAAUUCCUUGUCGGGUAAGUUCCGACCUGCACGAAUGGCAUAAUGAUGGCGGCGCUGUCUCCAGCAGAGGCUCAGUGAAAUCGAAAUCGCUGUGAAGAUGCAGUGUACCCGCGGCUAGACGGAAAGACCCCGUGAACCUUUACUGCAGCUUGACACUGAACUUUGACCUUACUUGUGUAGGAUAGGUGGGAGGCUUUGAAGCUGGAACGCUAGUUCCAGUGGAGCCGUCCUUGAAAUACCACCCUGGUAAUGUUGAGGUUCUAACUCUGUCCCGUGAUCCGGGACGAGGACCGUGUCUGGUGGGUAGUUUGACUGGGGCGGUCUCCUCCUAAAGAGUAACGGAGGAGUACGAAGGUGCGCUCAGCGUGGUCGGAAAUCACGCGUAGAGUAUAAAGGCAAAAGCGCGCUUAACUGCGAGACCCACAAGUCGAGCAGGUACGAAAGUAGGUCUUAGUGAUCCGGUGGUUCUGUAUGGAAGGGCCAUCGCUCAACGGAUAAAAGGUACUCUGGGGAUAACAGGCUGAUACCGCCCAAGAGUUCAUAUCGACGGCGGUGUUUGGCACCUCGAUGUCGGCUCAUCUCAUCCUGGGGCUGAAGCAGGUCCCAAGGGUAUGGCUGUUCGCCAUUUAAAGAGGUACGCGAGCUGGGUUUAGAACGUCGUGAGACAGUUCGGUCCCUAUCUACCGUGGGCGCUGGAAAUUUGAGAGGAUCUGCUCCUAGUACGAGAGGACCAGAGUGGACGAACCUCUGGUGUACCGGUUGUGACGCCAGUCGCAUCGCCGGGUAGCUAUGUUCGGAAGGGAUAACCGCUGAAAGCAUCUAAGCGGGAAGCCUACCUCAAGAUAAGAUUUCCCUAGGACUUUAUGUCCUCUAAAGAGCCGUUCGAGACUAGGACGUUGAUAGGUUGGAUGUGGAAGCAUAGUGAUAUGUGAAGCUGACCAAUACUAAUUGCUCGUGAGGCUUGACUAU
rnacentral:rRNA from 1 species